UCGUUUGACUUUUCGUUUCUA
rnacentral:piRNA from 1 species